rnacentral:rRNA from 1 species
UGGGGAAUAUUGCACAAUGGGCGAAAGCCUGAUGCAGCAACGCCGCGUGAGUGAUGAAGGCCUUCGGGUUGUAAAGCUCUGUCUUUUGGGACGAUAAUGACGGUACCAAGGAGGAAGCCACGGCUAACUACGUGCCAGCAGCCGCGGUAAUACGUAGGUGGCAAGCGUUGUCCGGAUUUACUGGGCGUAAAGGAUGCGUAGGCGGAUUUUUAAGUGAGAUGUGAAAUACCCGGGCUUAACUUGGGUGCUGCAUUUCAAACUGGGAAUCUAGAGUGCGGGAGAGGAGAAUGGAAUUCCUAGUGUAGCGGUGAAAUGCGUAGAGAUUAGGAAGAACACCAGUGGCGAAGGCGAUUCUCUGGACCGUAACUGACGCUGAGGCAUGAAAGCGUGGGUAGCAAACAGGAUUAGAUACCCUGGUAGUCCACGCCGUAAACGAUGAGUACUAGGUGUAGGAGGUAUCGACCCCUUCUGUGCCGCAGUUAACACAAUCAAGUACUCCGCCCGGGAAGUACGAUCGCAAGAUUAAAACUUGAAAUGAAUUGACGGGGGUCAUAGCUGUUUUCCU